AACGAACGCUGGCGGCGUGCCUAACACAUGCAAGUCGAGCGCGAAAGUCCCUUCGGGGGCGAGUAGAGCGGCAGACGGGUGAGUAAUACAUAGGUAAUCUACCCUCGGGCUCGGGAUAACCCUGCGAAAGUGGGGCUAAUACCGGAUAUGACCACGCAACAAAAGUUGUGUGGUAAAAGGUGGCUUGUAUUUAUACUAGCUAUCACUUGAGGAUGAGCCUUUGGCCUAUCAGCUUGUUGGUAAGGUAAGAGCUUACCAAGGCUAUGACGGGUAGCUGGUCUGAGAGGACGAUCAGCCACACUGGGACUGAGACACGGCCCAGACUCCUACGGGAGGCAG
rnacentral:rRNA from 1 species